AUGUACACGCGUACAAUUUUAAUGCCCCAAAUCCCAUCAAAACUCCAUAGUUAAGCAUGCUUGGGUUAGAGUAGUACUGGGAUGGGUGACCUCCCGAGAAGUCUUAGUGUUUUACAUG
rfam:Picea glauca, whole genome shotgun sequence.